rnacentral:misc_RNA from 1 species
UUUCUCACAAAAAAAUAAAUUAAUUUAAAUUUUUUUUUGAGUUUCUUUCAAUUCUCUCUGAUUACAAGUCAUACCAUUUUCUCCGUGAAAUGUCAACCGGUGGCACCACCGUCGCCGCCAACUCCGAUAGUGUUAUCCCCAUACCCACCACCACGACCCACCACCGUCGCCGUGUCGCUGACUCCGCCACCAUGACAACGACGGACUCUGAGAAAUUAUCAAACUCCGAUUACAAUUUCUCCUCCGACGAGGAUAAUAGCAAUAACCCAGAAAUUAGCAAUUGCGAUCUUCAUCAUUAUCACCAUCAUCAUCAUCCGUUAAUUAAAUACUUAUUGGUACGGAAAAGGGUACCGGAAAGUAUUGUUUUUAGAGUAGAAGAAUGGGUUUUAAACGUUUCAACAAUUAUUCACUAUUUGAGAUUAAAGAAGAAUAUGGGUCGUACAGUUUUUGGGUUUCUGAUGAUUUUAUUGAUGCUUUCUGUCUUCCUCAAGUUUUCUUUCAUGAUGAUAAAUACAAAUGUUGAA